GAAGGUAGGCCCUUCGGGUUCGGCGAUCAGGUCGCCGAUUCCAAGCCACCGUGAGCUGCUGCGGUCAAAAGCCGUGGUGGUGAGCGUCGCGGAAACGUCGGGACAAUGAUCCCGGCAGGC
rfam:Freshwater sediment metagenome lwMethenol_C1088, whole genome shotgun sequence.